rnacentral:misc_RNA from 1 species
CCAAUAGCGUAUAUUAAAGUUGUUGCAGUUAAAAAGCUCGUAGUUGAAUUUCGGGAUCAAUUUGUCGGUCGUGCCUCGGUACGUACUGGCAUUAUUGGUUUCUCCCUUCUGACGAACCACGAUGUCAUUAAUUUGGUGUCGCGGGAAAUCAGGACUGUUACUUUGAAAAAAUUAGAGUGUUUAAAGCAAGAUCACGCUUGAAUACAUUAGCAUGGAAUAAUGAAAUAGGACGUUUGAUUCUAUUUUGUUGGUUUCUAGGAUCGACGUAAUGAUUAAUAGGGAUAGUUUGGGGCAUUAGUAUUCAAUUGUCAGAGGUGAAAUUCUUGGAUUUAUUGAAGACUAACUACUGCGAAAGCAUUUGCCAAGGAUGUUUUCAUUAAUCAAGAACGAAAGUUAGGGGAUCGAAGACGAUCAGAUACCGUCGUAGUCUUAACCAUAAACUAUGCCGACUAGGGAUCGGAUGAUGUUGAUUUUUUAAUGACUCAUUCGGCGCCUUACG